UAAUCAUUCAAAGAGUGCCUGUAACCUCUAGAGUGAAGAGCAGAGGACAGCUUAGCAUACCAUUGCCGGGAGGCCUGCCUGAGCCCAUAUAAAGACUUCUUUAGUUUACAGACCAAAGGAAGAGAAGGAGAAGAGGGAGAAGAAGAAGAGUCAGAAAUCACCAAACCUGGAGGAAGUUUCAUAUAAACUUCCUCAUCCAAAUCACCAUGG
rnacentral:lncRNA from 1 species